UUUAAUACAUUUCAGUUAGACUUACGACUCCUUCCCCUACGUUUGGGAGCUCCACAUUUUAUAUUUUUCGUGCUUAAAUUUCACACUAAAAGAUAGACAAAUUUUUUAGAAAUUUUUCAGAACCGUGAAGAAAUACACUCGGACACCUGCAGUUUCUGCCGCUGCUUAAGCUCGUUUUGCAAAUUAGAGGACAGCGAGGCGAUUAUGGAGGAGCUCCCACAAGAGCCAGUAUGCGAUGUAGCAGGAUACGAAUUGUUGAGCGCCGCCGCUACAAACACAGCAGGGAUACAACUGCAUCCAGGUGAUGGCCAUCAUGGACCAUCAUGCCUCGAAGAAUGUACAGGAUGUACAGGUACAGGAUCCUAGGUUUGGCGGCCACAACCGCAUCGAUGGCAAUGUCAAGCAUCGCUCCGACCCGGAGGGAUACGCAGGUGGUUCCAACUUCAUUGAGGCGCUACAAUCCACACACGCACACACAUAUGCAGAGAGAGCAAAAAAAAGGGGAAAAGGUUGAAUUUCGAUUGGGGAUUGGGGAAUCGGGGAAAAAUUGGGAGAAUUUUGAAUACUUGGCCAAAAUUUAACAAUUUUUCAGUCUAAUAUCU